GAGAGGUCAGAGGUGAUCAGUACCUAUGCACUAUGUGGCCUCUCAGCCUUUCCAGCUAUAGGAUUUUGCCUGGGCACUCUGAUUCCUAUGUGCCCCAAAAGAAAAGAUGACAUUAUCUCCUUGGUGAUGAGUGCAUUCAUAGCCGGCAACAUGACCAACUACGUCACAGGGGCAGUUGCAGGAAUAAUGUUUACAGCGUAAUGUCGAUCUAACCCAAAGACUUAAAAAUAGGAAAUUACCAGAUUAUUAUUGAUACCAGAGUGAGCUAAAUCUAUGUAGUUUGCUUUGGAUAUAAUCGUUCUCUUUCCUGCAGAUUAAAAAUACAUAUUUUGGUUAUGAAAGUUUCUCCCUCUCGAGCUUACAUCCGAGCGGUUCUUGUGAAAAUGUAAUCAGGAUACCAAAAACAGUUCUAGUAUUUAAAAAUCAUUUACCACAAAAGAGUUGAUUCCUCGUAGACACAUGAACUUUGUACGCUAUUGAGCCUCGUAGGCAAUAGUAAUCUAACCUGAAGUUAUAUCAUUCAUAAAAAGCUUCGGCAAUAUAUGUAGUCUUUACUAACAUUAACAAAUUUUACAUGACAAUGCUCAAUGCAUUUUUUAAUGUCGAGCGUUCAUGUUGAUGUAGAAAAUUAAAAUGCUGCCGAGAGAUUGAUUUUAUUUGUCUUAUCAGGCAACUCAUUUCUGGCUCGAAUUGUACCUGAGUAUUGUGAGUUGCAACUUUGUUCUGGCACAGUCAGAGAUAUAAAUAAGUUUCGCUUCGUUUCAUUCUGCUUGCUUGUUGGAUCGUAUGUUUGUAUUGAUGGUAGAGACUUUAUGAAUGUUAUAUUACAGUAAAAAUAGAUCUACUGUUUUUGUUUUUUGUUGUUUUUUUGCGGGGGAUGGGGCGGGAGGAGAGGGCGUUGUGGUGGAGUUAUUCCUGAUUUUGAAUCUCACUUGAUGGUUGGUAUUGUUUUUAAAGGAGAAUUUAGUUACGGGCAUUAGUAUGAGAAAGUAAAAGCUGUUGGUCGUUGUGCUCGACCAGUUACACCCUCAUUAUCAGUCAUUGGUUUAGUUCUAGAUUGUUAAAUCUCUGAUGACAGUUUCAAUAUCUCCCUUCACACUGACUAUGAUGUCAGAAAGUUUUUGAAAAUAAACAUUUCUUGCCGUUUUAA
rnacentral:sRNA from 1 species